rnacentral:rRNA from 1 species
ACGGCUCAGUAACACGUAGAUAAUCUACCCUUAGGUGGAGGAUAACCUCGGGAAACUGAGAAUAAGACUCCAUAGAUCUAGAAUGCUGGAAUGCUUUUAGGUCCAAAACUUCGGUGCCUAAGGAUGAGUCUGCGGACUAUCAGGUAGUAGUCAGGGUAACGACCUGACUAGCCUACGACGGGUACGGGUCGCGGGAGCGAUAACCCGGAGAUGAUAUCUGAGACACGAUAUCAGGCCCUACGGGGCGCAGCAGGCGCGAAAACUUCGCACUGUGCGAAAGCACGACGAGGGAAUCCCAAGUGCUGGCUCGUUAGAGUCAGCUGUUUCUCUGUCUAAAAAACAGAGAGAGUAAGGGCUGGGUAAGACGGGUGCCAGCAGCCGCGGUAAUA